rnacentral:rRNA from 1 species
AUUGAACGCUAGCGGCAUGCCUUACACAUGCAAGUCGAACGGCAGCACGGGUGCUUGCACCUGGUGGCGAGUGGCGAACGGGUGAGUAAUACAUCGGAACAUGUCCUGUAGUGGGGGAUAGCCCGGCGAAAGCCGGAUUAAUACCGCAUACGAUCUACGGAUGAAAGCGGGGGACCUUCGGGCCUCGCGCUAUAGGGUUGGCCGAUGGCUGAUUAGCUAGUUGGUGGGGUAAAGGCCUACCAAGGCGACGAUCAGUAGCUGGUCUGAGAGGACGACCAGCCACACUGGGACUGAGACACGGCCCAGACUCCUACGGGAGGCAGCAGUGGGGAAUUUUGGACAAUGGGCGAAAGCCUGAUCCAGCAAUGCCGCGUGUGUGAAGAAGGCCUUCGGGUUGUAAAGCACUUUUGUCCGGAAAGAAAUCCUUGGCCCUAAUACAGUCGGGGGAUGACGGUACCGGAAGAAUAAGCACCGGCUAACUACGUG